rnacentral:rRNA from 1 species
GACGAACGCUGGCGGCGUGCUUAACACAUGCAAGUCGAACGGAAAGGCCCUGCUUUUGUGGGGUGCUCGAGUGGCGAACGGGUGAGUAACACGUGAGUAACCUGCCCUUGACUUUGGGAUAACUUCAGGAAACUGGGGCUAAUACCGGAUAGGAGCUCCUGCUGCACGGUGGGGGUUGGAAAGUUUCGGCGGUUGGGGAUGGACUCGCGGCUUAUCAGCUUGUUGGUGGGGUAGUGGCUUACCAAGGCUUUGACGGGUAGCCGGCCUGAGAGGGUGACCGGCCACAUUGGGACUGAGGUACGGCCCAGACUCGUACGGGAGGCAGCAGUGGGGAAUAUUGCACAAUGGGCGGAAGCCUGAUGCAGCAGCGCCGCGUGCGGGAUGACGGCCUUCGGGUUGUAAACCGCUUUCGCCUGUGACGAAGCGUGAGUGACGGUAAUGGGUAAAGAAGCACCGGCUAACUACGUG